AUCCAAUCCUGAUUCAGGGAGGUAGUGAAAGAAAUAAUGAACUAGGAUUUAUCCUGGGGUCAGAAUGGGCUUGAUUUGCAAACUUUAUUUAGCGAGGAACAAUUGGAGGGCAAGUCUGGUGCCAGCAGCCGCGGUAAUUCCAGCUCCAAUAGUGUAUAUUAAUGUUCCUGCAGUUAUUCGAUGCUCGUAGUUGGAUUUCUGGAGGCUGAGACAGGAAGGCAGCCAAGGUUGUCGCCAGUCUCUUCCUUCAUCCACCUGUUAACGUUGUCCCGGGAUUCAUUUCUCGGCUUCNGGCUC
rnacentral:rRNA from 1 species